GGCUCCAUCGGGAUGCGUUGUAAUAGGAAGCAGUGGUGCUAUCUUGCAUCUGAGUUCUCACCAUCUUCUUGUCCCUUCAAAAAGUGGAUGACAAGACCUUCAAUGCCAUUUCGUUGCUGCAAAUCUCCAGACAGACAUUGAUCAUUGACCAAUGUGCUUGGGUCAAGUUGAUAAGACACUCCCCCCCGAAGAAACCCAAAAUGAAAGUCCACAUGUGUAGAGGUGCUCCGAUGGGAGACCCUCUGAUGCCUAAGUUAAUCAAAGCUGGAGAAUGAAAAAAAAGAGAAGGGAAG
rnacentral:lncRNA from 1 species